rnacentral:lncRNA from 10 species
CUGAGAUAUUCGGGUGCUCCUUAACAUCUCAAACCAUUCGACAUUACCAAGACUGCCCAGGCCUCUCUUUUCUUCUUUCCUAACAAAGCUUAUCAAUUCAGCAGAUGGAAUAUAGUGCAAUGGUUAAGGGUAAGGACUCUACCGCCAGACUGAUUGCAAUUCAAAUCUAACUACUCUCUUCGUAACUGCCUAACCUUUGGCAAGUUGUGAAACUUUCCGCUUCAGCUUCUCACCUGUACAAUGAAGAUAAUAGUAAUAUCUAUCUCUGUCAUAGUUGUGGGGAUUGAAAAAAUCAGUAUGUAUAAAGGUCUUAGAGUAGCGCUUGUACAUGGCAAGCCUUAUACAAGAUUUUAUUGCUAGGUGCAUUUAGUAGCAAGCAGUUAUUGAGCUUUCACUGUGUAAGCACUUUACAUGCAUUGUCUCCUCCCACCAAAACCCUAUGAGAUUGCUACUAUUUUACCCCCAUUAUAUAAGUGAGAAAAUUGAGGCUUAGAGAGCCACCUCAGGUUCAUGCCUUGGUAGUAAAUAAUAAGGCCUGUCUUGCAUUAGAUUUGUCUUAAUGUAAAAUUCUCAUGAACCGUCUCCCCAGUAAAAACAAUUAAGUCGUGUAGCUAAAAAUUGUAUAGUGUUAAAGUAGAUAAGGAAGAUUUUAUUGUUGCUUUUUUCCUUUAAAGAGCAUAACAGUUUUGAUUUUUAAAAAAGGUUUUAGUUUGUGAUAUAUAAAGCCGCAGUAGAAGUCUUAGGGUGCACUGUUUUAACUGUGUUGCCAAAUAUGAACGGUUAAUGGUCCAGAAUUUUUAGAGAUUAAAUAAGCAUGAACUGACAUCUCUAAUCAGAAUAAGUGGAAACUAUUUGACAUUUUUAAAACAUUUUAAAAUUUUACAAAUGAAGACUUUGAAAUUUUCCCUCCAGAAUGAAAAGCAGAGGAAUAUGGGUCAUGAAUUUAAGUUGUCUUUCAGACAUUAUUUAAUAUGAGAUGAUCCCUUGACAUUGUAAUUAUAACAAAACUUUCAGAACUCAAGUCUAAAUAUGUAGUAUUUUCUAUCUGAUUUGCACCAUUGACUUUAUUAAAAUUGCUAUACAGGAGAUGGCAGUUUGAUACCCAAAGCUGUUCACUGAUAUAUGGAAUUUUAAUAAAGUUCAGCUUUAAUUUUUUGAAUUGUUCAUACAGCAAAUAUUUACUGAGUACAUUUUUGUCUCCAGUCCUCCUUGACAAUAUUAUUUACUUUGUAUUGAGUACUUAUUGUGUGCAGACACUGUGAAUAUAAAGUAGACAUGGUCUUUUCCCUCUAGAGCUUACCAGAUGAGUGUGAGAUAAAUAGAAAAGUAAACAUGCCAUUGCAGUACAGGUGAUAAGAAUUAUGAUAAAGUACAGUGUUAUUAUUGAUAAAGUACAGGUUAUUGAAUUAUGAUAAAGUACAAAAGGUUAUAGGAAAGGGAUAUGUAUGUGUUCAACACCAUUUUAAUUGCUUCAAGAGAUACAAAAGAAAUAUAAAGCACCUGACUUUUGCUUCAGUUUGAGAGACUACAUGGAGGUGGGAUAUUAAAAAACACAAGUAACCGUAAAAUUAUGUGUUAUGGAAUAUAGUUAUAAGCAUGUGGAAAAAUUGGAGAGGCUUUGAGAUUAGAAAACCUGGUAUCAAAUCCUGGCUCAGAAACCCAGCUCAGAAUACCACUUGCCAGUUAGCUGAUUUUGGGCAGUUGAUUAACCCAAACCGUUUCCCUCAUCUGUAAAAGGGGGUUGCCAUCCAUGCUUCUCAGAUUAUUUAAAGAUUGAAGGGAGCAUCAAGGUAAGGAUAGCAAAUUCCUGUGAUGGAUCUGCCAUCACUUUCUACCCAACCUCACUAAAGUGACAGUAAAGGAAUUUUUUAAAAGAAACUCCCAUUGAAAAUAUAAAGGGUUCGUAUUAAUAACUGAUAGGGAGGGGUGGGUCCCUGUACUUGAUUAUAGUAACAAUUUGGAAACUAGAGAAGGGAUGGGUGAAGGUAACUGAUUUAAUAGAUUCAGAGAAGUUUAAUCUUAAGCUCGCAACCCAGUUUAUUGCAAGAAUCCCCCAAAAGGCUCAGGAAUAGGCACAGGUACUUGCAGAACUUCAGGUAGGGCUAAAAAAAACUUUCAGUUGAAAAUCUGUUGAAGAAACAAAAGCCCCAGAUCCCCUACUCCACUGUGGGUAACUGGGCAAACACUCCUUCCCUACCAGAAGAGGAGAGUAGAGAUUUCUUCAUUAGAAAGAGUAAAAUAGAAGAUUUCCAAGAAUAAUUGGGGCAGGUCUUUGUACCUGAAGGAAGGGGUAAACUGAUUGUUUACAUGCUGAAUGCUGUGACUGAAUGUAAACUAAAUGCUUACAUACUGAGUGUCGAGACUCCCAGCCUUGCUUCUUCACUUCCAACAGCUGAUCGUGGGGUUGGAACUCCAACUCAGGUUGGAGUUUGAAAGAUUAUUCUCUAGGGAAUCUGAUAGAGCCAAGAGGAAAGACUGAAAGACACUGACAUUGUGGGUUUCUCAACUAAAUAGUCUGGCCAGAUGACCCUACAGUGAAGUCCAAAGUCAAACAGUUAUUGCCUAUAUUGUUACCUUUAUUAGUGUCCCACACUUAAAUAUGAACAGAACAAAGGAUGAAAGAAACUUCUAACAUGAAAGAAAUAAAAAUAGCAACUUGGAUAGACUAUGUAAGAUAAACACAUCCCCCUAAAUUAUCAUUAGUAUCCUUAGAUGAGAGAAGAUAUGGUACAAAUGAUACAGGAACAAGGUGCAAAGUAUUUAGAUGAUCAGGAAUUCUUGCAAAUGGAGAUGGUAAUAGAAAUGAAAAUCUUAAUAGAAGUGUUGGAAAAUAAAGUUGAAAGAAAUCAUCCAGAGAAUAGAGCAGAAAACUAAAAUAGUAGAUAACUGGAGAAAGAAGAUAAAGGACAAAUCCAGAUGGUUCAACUUCCAAAUAAUAGGAGUUCCAGAUAGUCCAGGAAAAACAAACCAAACAAGGAAGUAACCAGAUUCUUCAAGGACAUUUCCCAGAACUGAAAAUGUGAGUUUUCAUUUUGAAAGAGUCCACUAAAAACUCAGCACAAGGGAUGAGAACAGAUUCACAUUAAGGCACACUGUGAAAUUUUACAAGCUAGGAGACACUGGAGCAAUACCUUAAAAUGUUGAAAGACAAUUCUAACUUUAGACUUCUUUACCAAGUUAAACUAUCGAUUAAGAGUAUAUGUGUAGCUUCCCACAAUUAUAUGCCCUUUGCUUUGUCAUUUUUAUAAAGAAUAUAAUUUUGAUAAGGAACAUUUUCAGAAAUGAAAGUUCUCAAAAUUUACCUUUGCCGUACCCUUUGCAAAACUACUGGAAGAUGUUCUUCUAACCACAGCAAGAGAGUAAGUUUAAAAAUAAUUGAUGACAGUGUUUUAAACUGUCAUGUGCAUCAGAAUUACUGGAGGGCUUGUUAAAGCAAAUUGUUGGACUCCACAUUCAAGAUUUCUGAUUCAGUGGGUGAUUAUAGGGUAGGGCCUAAGAAAUUGCAUUUCUAUUAAAUUCUCAGGUGGUCCUGUUGUUGAUCCAUAGACACUUUAGAACUAGUGAGCUAUAGCAUACAGGAAACAGUGGAUUAAUACAGAAUAAAGAAAUUAAGAGACUUUGUAGUAUAAUGAUGAAGGAAGAGCCUAGGAAGGGAGCUGUAUGUGCAGUAAGUCUAGAGACAAUCAUGUCAGAUUCUAGGAGAUACAUCUUUAAGAAGAUGAAAUUGAUAGAAUACCUCAUGAAUAUGAAUGUAUCUAGAGGAACUUUAGAUAACUAGUGGAAAGUUG